NNNNNNNNNNNNNNNNNNNNNNNNNNNNNNNNNNNNGGGACAUUGGGGACAUCACAGGGACAUUGGGGAUACAGGGACAUUGGGGACAUUGGGGACAUUGGGGACAAUGGGGAUACAGGGACAUUGGGGACAUCCCAGGGACAUUGGAGAUACAGGGACAUUGGGGACAUCAUUGGGACACAGGAGAUACAGGGACAUUGAGGACAUUGGGGACAUCCCAGGGACAUUGGGGACAUCCCAGGGACAUUGGGGACAGCUGGUCGAUCUCGGAGUCACCGGGGAACAGCGCGCGGCGGGUGAUCUACGGGACAUUGGGGACAUUGGGGACAAUGGGGACAUCCCAGGGACAUUGGGGAUACAGGGACAUUGGGGACACUGCUGGGACACAGGGACAUUGGGGACAAUGAGGACAUUGGGGAUACAGGGACAUUGGGGAUACAGGGACAUUGGGGACAUUGGGGACAAUGGGGACAGCUGGUCGAUCUCGGAGUCACCGGGGAACAGCGCCCAGCGGGUGAUCUGGGGGACAUUGGGGACAUUGGGGACAUCACAGGGUCAUUGGGGAUACAGGGACAUUGGGGACAUUGGGGACAUCAUUGGGAUACAGGAGAUACAGGGACAUUGGGGACAUUGGGGACAUUGGGGACAAUGGGGAUACAGGGACAUUGGGGACAUCCCAGGGACAUUGGGGACACAGGGACAUUGGGGACAUUGGGACAUUGGGGACAUCAUUGGGACAGUGGGGACACUGGGACAUUGGGGACACUGGGGACAUUCCCAGGGGACACCCACAGGGGACACCGGGUUUGAUCUCAGAGCCCUGGGAGUGACCUGGGGACACACGGGGGUUUGGGGACAUCACUGGGGACAUCACUGGGGACACUCCCAGAGGGCUCUGGGGACACUGGGGACACAUUCCCAUGGGGUUCAGGGGUCACAAGGGACACCCCAGGGGGUUUGGGGACAUUUGGGACACCCCCAGGGGGGUUUGGGGACAUUUGGGACACCCCCAGGUGGGUUU
rnacentral:lncRNA from 1 species